GCCAGUGUAGCUCAGUGGUUGAGCCUUGACCUAUGAACCAAGAGGUCAGGGUUCAAUUCCCAGUAAGGGCA
rnacentral:tRNA from 1 species